GACGUACUUGAAUUUUGUGUUUCCGACUUGAGACUUCAUAAACAAUGGGUCAAUGGGAAUUGGGUCUUACCCGGCAAGCAGACUCAUUGAUGUUUAGUGUGGGAAAGAAUGUGGAAGUAUUGUUCGAUAGAGAUGACCGCCGUGAUGCUUGGUUCCCAUCCAAAGUCCUUGAACAGUUAGAAAAUGGCUCUUUUUUGGUGGAGAGGUAUCGGACAAUCGACAAAAAAGCAUCUAUUGACAAAGUAACUGUUGAUUCCUUCCAUAUCCGUCCUUUACCACCACAUAUCAAAAGGAAGAAAUUCAAUUUGCUGGAAAAAGUCGAUGCAUUUUAUGAUCUUGCCUGGUGGAGUGGUGUUAUCACUAGAGAGCUUGCUGAUAGUAGGUAUAUUGUCUUUUUUAAGCACACAAACAUGCAGAAGGAGUUGAAUGACUUUGAUUUGAGACCUCAUAUGGAUUGGAAAGAUGGGCAAUGGUUUACUACCUCACGGGACAUUCCAAUUCCUCCAGAUUGUCAAACUAACGGAAGCAAUAACUGCACUGACACUAGUAUUUUAAAAAAGGACACUCCACUUGGCAGAUCAAGCAUUAUGAAUGAGAUCUCUGAGGAAAAAACACCACAAUCUAUUAAGCUUAUGGAGGAUCUUAAUGAGCCACAUUCAACUGAUGAGAUUUCACCAGAGGAGACAUUGCAAAAUGCGCUUCCCAACUGUGAUGCUGCAUCUCCACAAACCCCAGAGCCGCCCAAAGACAUGUCACUUGAAGCAUGUACACUUCGUUCAAAGCCUUCUAAAAAACCCCGCACAAAGAGUCCCUUUAGUCAGUCCAGCCCAAAAUCUGAAUAUGCUGAAAUGAAAAUAUCAGCACCUUUAGCUGGAGAUGAGCAAACCCAUAACCGCUCUUGGCAGAACAGAACUAGAAAGAGAUGUCAGGAACUUGGUGUAAAAAAGAGUGGGGCACUUGAGAAGUUGCGAGGCCUAAAAUCUCCUUCAAGAGGUAACAAGGGUAUUGCGAUAGAAAAUGCUGCUGAAGUUAUUCAAAAACGCUCUACACGUAAAGAAACUGAUGUUCCUGUCGUCAUAGGGUUGGAGUGUACUAAGGUUAGGAGUUCGAAGGCUAAAAGAUCUCGUCUGAUUAAUAAUGAAUCUUUGGAGUCUAUUGGAGAUCUGAAGCAGAUCGAUGCUGCUAUAGAUGAUGUGCAGGAUACCAAACACUCCGGUGAUGGAGGGGGCAGUAGUCAGAAAAGGAGAAGGGGACGACCAGCUAGGAAACUACCUUCAAUUAUCCCAGCAGUUAUGGAACCAAUUGGAGAUCAUCGAAAUGAUGAGAAUUCAGGUCACGUCGAGCUUGCAAUUAUGGAAAAUGAAGUCGGUAAGGAGCAACUUGAGGUUCAAAUGGGGCACAGCAGAAAAAGAGGCAGGACGAAGAAGAUAAGUCAAACAAAAAUGUCAAAUGAGAAAGCAGUUCGGUCUUUGUCCCAGCAGCAUGAGAAGCAUUAUGUGAAGAGGGAAAAGCGACAGCAAAAAAGUGUAAAUAUUGAAUCUCAAGUUCAAGCUUCUGUAGACUCUUCUGGAGUGAAGCCUGCUGAAUCAAACAGGGCAACCGAUGGUGAGGAAGUUCUUGCUGAAAUACCCUUCAAUGGAUUUGAUGAUCAACCCCUUGCAAAGUGGUUUGAAGAAAUACAGGCUCCAACUUCUAUUGAUGGAUUGAGAGUUUCACCUGCAUGUAGCCCGAAGCGAUGUGCUGAGAUGAGGGAGAAACAAGACAUGCCCAUGCAAACUCCUGCCAACAGGACUCCAGCAACCCAAAUUGAAACACAGAGCUUGCCAUUUGUGAAAAAUACACUACUUUGGUCAACUAUUGAAGCCAUGGAUAUAUUCAGGAGGAUUCCUCAGAAGCCACAUUUCACUCCAUUGGAACAGUCUAAAGAGAGCUCCCGUGAAGGACAAGCUAUAGGUUAUAUGGUAACUUUUUUAAGCAUAGUAGAGAGGACUUCUAGACUUCAGUUUGACGAUCCUAGAAGCACCUUUGAGGAAAUCAUGGAGACUCUCACCGACUUGGAAACCCAUGGAUUUAAUGUUCAAGCUGUACGAGAUCGUCUAAGUGAGUUACUGUUGAUGAAAGAUAAGCAGGAAAAGCUUGAAAGUCAGGUUGCAGGUAUUGAUAACCAGAUCAUCACGCAUAAUAUGGACAAAGAACGUAUUGAUGGAGAGAUUAAAGAGAUCAAUAAACAAAUUGCAGAAUUACAGGAUAAACUUUCCCUGGCUACUUCGAGGAAGGAGGCUAAGGAUCGUGAAAUUGAUGGUUUAAGGUCUAGGUUAAUGGGUAUUCAAGCAGGGACAAUGAAGGCACACACUGAAUUUGACAGUCUUGCUAGUAAACCUCUGUAAAUGCUACCAGCCAGUUAGUCACUAUUGAUGGUUUCUCUUGAAUCAUGGGUUGCUGCUAUUUAAUCAAAAUCUAGUUUCGUAGUUGGGUAGGUGUUUUGUCAAACCAUUUGGCUAUCAUGCCAAAUGUGUAUAUGUCCUGUCUAGAUAACUUUGUUGGAAUAGUACAUGUUUUCGGAUGGUCUAAUAGUUUAAAGCUUCAGACUGACUGCUUUUUGUG
rnacentral:misc_RNA from 1 species